rnacentral:rRNA from 1 species
CUCCUAAGGCUAAAUACUCUCUAGUGACCGAUAGUGAACCAGUACCGUGAGGGAAAGGUGAAAAGCACCCCGGAAGGGGAGUGAAAUAGAACCUGAAACCGUGUGCUUACAAGUAGUCAGAGCCCGUUAAUGGGUGAUGGCGUGCCUUUUGUAGAAUGAACCGGCGAGUUACGAUUUGAUGCAAGGUUAAGCAGUAAAUGUGGAGCCGUAGCGAAAGCGAGUCUGAAUAGGGCGUUUAGUAUUUGGUCGUAGACCCGAAACCAGGUGAUCUACCCUUGGUCAGGUUGAAGUUCAGGUAACACUGAAUGGAGGACCGAACCGACUUACGUUGAAAAGUGAGCGGAUGAACUGAGGGUAGCGGAGAAAUUCCAAUCGAACCUGGAGAUAGCUGGUUCUCUCCGAAAUAGCUUUAGGGCUAGCCUCAAGUGAUGAUUAUUGGAGGUAGAGCACUGUUUGGACGAGGGGCCCCUCUCGGGUUACCGAAUUCAGACAAACUCCGAAUGCCAAUUAAUUUAACUUGGGAGUCAGAACAUGGGUGAUAAGGUCCGUGUUCGAAAGGGAAACAGCCCAGACCACCAGCUAAGGUCCCAAAAUAUAUGUUAAGUGGAAAAGGAUGUGGCGUUGCCCAGACAACUAGGAUGUUGGCUUAGAAGCAGCCAUCAUUUAAAGAGUGCGUAAUAGCUCACUAGUCGAGUGACACUGCGCCGAAAAUGUACCGGGGCUAAACAUAUUACCGAAGCUGUGGAUUGUCCUUUGGACAAUGGUAGGAGAGCGUUCUAAGGGCGUUGAAGCAUGAUCGUAAGGACAUGUGGAGCGCUUAGAAGUGAGAAUGCCGGUGUGAGUAGCGAAAGACGGGUGAGAAUCCCGUCCACCGAUUGACUAAGGUUUCCAGAGGAAGGCUCGUCCGCUCUGGGU